rnacentral:rRNA from 1 species
UACGUAGGGCGCAAGCGUUGUCCGGAAUUAUUGGGCGUAAAGAGCUCGUAGGUGGUUUGUCGCGUCUGUCGUGAAAGCCCGGGGCUUAACUCCGGGUCUGCGGUGGAUACGGGCAGACUAGAGGCAGGUAGGGGAGAACGGAAUUCCCAGUGUAGCGGUGAAAUGCGUAGAUAUUGGGAGGAACACCAGUGGCGAAGGCGGCUCACUGGACCGGAACUGACGCUGAGGCGCGAAAGCGUGGGGAGCAAACGGG